rnacentral:misc_RNA from 1 species
GAAACGCGAAAGGUAAUGCGAAUUGCAGAAUCAGUGAGUCAUCGAAUCUUUGAACGCACAUUGCGCCUCUCGGUAUUCCGGGAGGCACGCCUGUUCGAGCGCCAUUACACACCCCAAGCUUGGCUUGAUGUUGGAUGCUGUCUGUUACAGGACAGGUCUGGAACGCGUGGGCGCCGCCGCCGGACCACGAGCGUAGCAAGACGCAAGUCAUCGCUCUGUGGACUCUGGUGGACGGUCGUCAUGACGGCGGGUAACACCGACGUCGAAACACUUUUACAAGUUUGGCCUCGGAUCAGGCGGGGAUACCCGCUGAACUUAA